UGCCAUAAUAUUUAGACAUGGCGCACCAGAGCUAGCGUGAGCACCUUCACGCCAGUUGUAGUUUUAAUUAAUUAUUAUUUUAGACUUAGAACAUUUCGAAUUAAAUCAUAUUUUUGAACUUGUUUAAAUAAUGAGCCUAAUACAUAUUACUUGUCUAGAAAAUACCUAUUCAGUUGAACUGUAUUUUUUUGAAACAUAAAAUAAUUUCAAUCAGUUUAAUAAACACUUUAAAUUACUAUGGGACUUGAACUUCUUUACAACUACAAUACUUCCCUUUCGGUCUACGAUUGCCAGUACGUGUGGCCGAUACAAUUAACGUUGGACGACCUAUAUUCACUGAGCACGCCACAAUUUUGGUACGGUCGGAAAUAUUCUGUCAACAUUAAGAAUCUUUAAUAUUUAAAAAAAAAUAUAUUACUUAAUUUCAAACUUUACGGAUCCGACCUUCAAGGUGUACAGUGAAGCGGAAUAACCUAACUUCUUUCAACUCAACAACAUUAAGAAGACCAGCGCUGAGUCAAACUGCAGUAGAUAACAAAAAAAAAUUGUGAUAAAUCAACAUCAGUACUAUUGUCGUCUACAUCGUCUGAAACCAAAUUUUUGUAAGUGAAUUUAUGUAUUGAAGAUUAUGAUUUUUAUCAUUAUAUACAAAAGAGUAGAUAAUUUUUUUUUUAAAAAGAUUUGAGUAAAAAAAAAAGUUUAAUUAAGUAUUAAACGGGCAUUGCGUGUUAAUUAAUCUGUGGUAUUGUUGAAACUAUUGAUUAUUUUAAAAUUUUAAUUUAUUUGAGGGCUUAUUAGGAAUGAAAUUGAACAAAUAGUUAUUAGACAAUAAUUAAUACAAUUGUAUUAACAGAGAUUGUAAGGACAGAGAUAAAUGAAAAUGUAAAACUUUCACCUUUUCUAAAUAGCUGAUCAAUCAAAAAAUAUAUAAUACAGGUGUGGGCGACUUGUGAAUAAUAGAUACUAUAAUAUUUAAAAUAAAGUGAAACAAAUUAAUGUGUACUUAUAUACAACCGAAUUUACAAAAAAUCUAUGUAGGUAGGUACCUAUUAAAAGGGAAUCGAGUGUUGAUUGAACUUUAAAGUGUGUCAUUAUUGAGAUUGCCUAUAUUGACGUUAUAAUUGAUUGGGUUCCUAUUUGGAGGGCAUAUUUAAAAUUUGAGAGUAUUUUUACAGACUUUCUAAAAUAAUCAAGAGUAUUUAUAAGAAUAUAUCUUACAAGUAACAACCCUUUAACAACUUUAUUGAUAUACAAGAACAGUACAAUUAUAAUAUAAAAAUAAAUAGGACAUUUAAAAAUAAAUAAACAUUACGAUUGGUAUAUUAUUUAGGGACAAAAGUCUGAGAGACUCGAAAUAAAACACAUUUUGUUAAUUUUAAAUACGCACAUUUAACGUUUGAAAAUAAAACGCUAACUAAAAUAUGGCAGAGAUUAAGGAUAAAGUUACAAUUAGUCUUGAUUGCGCUUUGGAAUGUCAUUCAAAUGUUAUUCAGUUUUAUAGAACAAAUAAGUUUUUUUUGUGGCCAUGUAUAUUAAUUGUAGAUUAAAUUGUCUGUCGUUAUUCUCGUCCCACCCACGCAUAGUUAUCAUGUAACAAUAGUGUGGUGUAAUAUUCUGGUAGUCCAGGUGACUAUUUUAAUAUUCAGGUAGCUAGACCGUUUUGCUGAUGAUGAUGAGGUAGUUGAUAAAUAAAUUGUAGACAGAUGUAAUUUUAUCAUGUGGUUUAUUAAAUUGUACUUCAAUAAUUUGUCCAAAUUACAAUUACGUUACACAAAGUGUCAUGAAGGAGGUGAUCGUAGUGCAAUGGAGUGAACCUGAUACUUUAUGUAGGUCCUCCAUGUUAUUCGUCUUAACAUGGUGGUCUUCCAUCAAGUUGUUGUUGUCGGUGAAUGGCAUAUCCUUUAUUUGUUCUAAAACUGAUUUUGGAUUGAAGUCCAUAUACUCUGAUUUGUAAUCGACUUUUCCCGGUAUAGUGAUCCCUCACCAACGCUUACAACAUCACAUGCUGGACGACUGGUACGUGGAUGCAAAGGAUUACCUUCAGGACACAAAAGGAAGUCUCUAGCGUGUUUACGAUGUGUGUAGUAAAAUUCGUCAUAAAUAGCAUAGUGCUCUUUAGUCUUACUUAUUGCUAGAUACUUAUUACUAGGUUUUACAUAUAAACAAUCGUUUCCGGUGCACACUGGCAUAGGUAUUAAAU